rnacentral:misc_RNA from 1 species
GUACGAUCUCGUAGCUGGUUUCUACGUAUCAGGUAACAGGUGCCAAGGGCUGACUAUGCUCGCAACGAAAAUGUGCCCCGAAUGACGAAGUGGAAAUAGUGAACGAUAGCGAUACGAGAAUUUGGAGCGGAACUGAAUCUCGUCCGGAUUAAAUCGCAGAAGUGGCUUGUUAAAUGUUGCAAACGAUCUACGAAGUUAACAUUGGAAGUUGGUUCAACAUGGGAUGAUGAAGAUGGUCGUUCUGUCUGAUAAGGC